rnacentral:rRNA from 1 species
GACGGAAGGUGCAAGCGUUGCUCGGAAUCACUGCGCGUAAAGGGUGCGUAGGCGGCUUGGUGGGUCUGGUGUGAAAGCCCCGGGCUCAGCCCGGGAAGGGCGCUAGAAACUGCCGAGCUCGAGUGCCGGAGGGGAGAGUGGAAUUCCUGGUGUAGCGGUGAAAUGCGUAGAUAUCAGGAGGAAUACCGGUGGCGAAAGCGACUCUCUGGACGGCAACUGACGCUGAGGCACGAAAGCGUGGGGAGCAAACAGG